rnacentral:rRNA from 1 species
UAACACAUGCAGUCAAACGGAGUUAACGCUAUAGCAAUAUAGUGUUAACUUAGUGGCGGACGGGUGAGUAACACGUAGGUAACCUACCUUCAAGAGGGGGAUAACUCCGAGAAAUCGGAGAUAAUACCGCGUAAGACCACGGGCUGAAAUGCUUGUGGUAAAAGGAGCAAUCCGCUUGAAGAUGGGCUUGCGGCCUAUCAGGUAGUUGGUAGGGUAAUAGCCUACCAAGCCUAUGACGGGUAGCCGGGCUGAGAGGUUGUACGGCCACACUGGGACUGAGACACGGCCCUGACUCCUACGGGAGGCAGCAGUGAGGAAUCUUGCGCAAUGGGGGAAACCCUGACGCAGCGACGCCGCGUGGAGGAUGAAGGCUUUCGGGUUGUAAACUCCUUUUAUUGGGGAAAAUAGUGAUGGUACCCAAGGAAAAAGCCACGGCUAACUCUGUGGCAGCAGCCGCGGUAAGACAGAGGUGGCAAGCGUUGUUCGGAAUUACUGGGCUUAAAGGGCGAAUAGGCGGUGAAGUAAGUUCAGGGUGGAAUCCUAAGGCUUAACCGUAGAAGUGCCUUGGAUACUGCUUCACUUGAGUCAGCGAGAGGAGGACGGAAUUCCCGGUGUAGCGGUGGAAAUGCGUAGAAAUCGGGAGGAAGGUCUGUGGCGAAGGCGGUCCUCUGGCACUGUACUGACGCUGAGGCGCGAAAGCGUGGGUAGCAAACAGGAUUAGAAACCCUGGUAGUCCACGCCCUAAACGGUGGGCAUUAGGUGUGAGGCUCUUAUGGGUUUCGUGCCGAAGGGAAACCAUUAAAUGCCCCGCCUGGGGAUAACGGCCGCAAGGUUGAAACUCAAAGGAAUUGACGGGGGCCCGCACAAGGGGUGGAAGCAUGGGGUUUAAUUCGACGCUACGCGAAGAACCUUACCUGGGUUUGACAUGCUAGUAGUAAAAACCCGAAAGGGAGAUGACUUAGGGGUAACCCUGGGAGCUAGCACAGGUGCUGCAUGGCUGUCGUCAGCUCGUGCCGUGAGGUGUUGGGUUAAGUCCCGCAACGAGCGCAACCCUUAUCCUCUGUUGGUCGGAGACGACCUCUCUGAGGAAACUGCCAGCGACAAGCUGGAGGAAGGUGGGGAUGACGUCAAGUCAUCAUGGCCCUUAUAUCCAGGGCGACACACGUGCUACAAUGGCCGUUACAGAGGGUAGCAAUGCCGUGAGGUGGAGCAAUCCCUAAAAGCGGUCUCAGUUGGGAUCGGAGUCUGCAACUCGACUCUGUGAACGCGGAAUCGCUAGUAAUCGCGGAUCAGCCACGCCGCGGUGAAUACGUUCCCGGGCCUUGUACACACCGCCCGUCACACCACGAAAGUCUGUUGUACCCGAAGCUGGUGAGCUAACCCGCAAGGGGGGCAGCCAUAUAAGGUAUGA